rnacentral:rRNA from 1 species
AUUGAACGCUGGCGGCAGGCCUAACACAUGCAAGUCGAACGCGUGGCGGACGGGUGAGUAAUGUCUGGGAAACUGCCUGAUGGAGGGGGAUAACUACUGGAAACGGUAGCUAAUACCGCAUACCAUCGGAUGUCCCCAGAUGGGAUUAGCUAGUAGGUGGGGUAACGGCUCACCUAGGCGACGAACCCUAGCUGGUCUGAGAGGAUGACAGGCCACACUGGAACUGAGACACGGUCCAGACUCCUACGGGAGGCAGCAGUGGGGAAGAUUGCACAAGGGGCGCAAGCCUGAUGCAGCCAUGCCGCGUGUAUGAAGAAGGCCUUCGGGUUGUAAAGUACUUUCAGCGGGGAGGCGUUACCCGCAGAAGAAGCACCGGCUAACUCCGUGCCAGCAGCCGCGGUAAUUC